UACGUAGGGAGCAAGCGUUGUCCGGAAUCAUUGGGCGUAAAGCGCGCGUAGGUGGCCUCAUAAGUCCGCUGUGAAAGUCAAAGGCUCAACCUUUGAAAGCCGGUGGAUACUGUGAGGCUAGAGUACGGAAGAGGCGAGUGGAAUUCCUGGUGUAGCGGUGGAAUGCGCAGAUAUCAGGAGGAACACCAAUAGCGAAGGCAGCUCGCUGGGACGUUACUGACGCUGAGACGCGAAAGCGUGGGGAGCAAACAGG
rnacentral:rRNA from 1 species